rnacentral:rRNA from 1 species
GGGGGCAACCCUGGCGGCGAGCGGCGAACGGGUGAGUAACACAUCGGAACGUACCCAAUUGUGGGGGAUAACACAUCGAAAGAUGUGCUAAUACGCAUAAGUCCUGAGGGAGAAAGCGGGGGAUCGCAAGACCUCGCGCGAAUGGAGCGGCCGAUGUUCGAUUAGCUAGUUGGUGGGGUAAAGGCCUACCAAGGCGACGAUCGAUAGCUGGUCUGAGAGGACGACCAGCCACACUGGAACUGAGACACGGUCCAGACUCCUACGGGAGGCAGCAGUGGGGAAUUUUGGACAAUGGGGGCAACCCUGAUCCAGCCAUUCCGCGUGAGUGAAGAAGGCCUUCGGGUUGUAAAGCUCUUUCGGCAGGAACGAAACGGUGACGGUUAAUACCUGUUACUAAUGACGGUACCUGAAGAAGAAGCACCGGCUAACUACGUGCCAGCAGCCGCGGUAAUACGUAGGGUGCGAGCGUUAAUCGGAAUUACUGGGCGUAAAGCGUGCGCAGGCGGUUUUGUAAGACAGCUGUGAAAUCCCCGGGCUCAACCUGGGAACUGCGGUUGUGACUGCAAGACUUGAGUGUGGCAGAGGGGGGUGGAAUUCCACGUGUAGCAGUGAAAUGCGUAGAGAUGUGGAGGAACACCGAUGGCGAAGGCAGCCCCCUGGGUCAACACUGACGCUCAUGCACGAAAGCGUGGGGAGCAAACAGGAUUAGAUACCCUGGUAGUCCACGCCCUAAACGAUGCCAACUAGGUGUUGGGAAAGGAGACUUUCUUAGUGCCGUAGCUAACGCGUGAAGUUGGCCGCCUGGGGAGUACGGUCGCAAGAUUAAAACUCAAAGGAAUUGACGGGGACCCGCACAAGCGGUGGAUGAUGUGGAUUAAUUCGAUGCAACGCGAAAAACCUUACCUACCCUUGACAUGUCAGGAAUCCCGGAGAGAUUUGGGAGUGCUCGGAAGAGAACCUGAACACAGGUGCUGCAUGGCUGUCGUCAGCUCGUGUCGUGAGAUGUUGGGUUAAGUCCCGCAACGAGCGCAACCCUUGUCAUUAAUUGCCAUCAUUUAGUUGGGCACUUUAAUGAGACUGCCGGUGACAAACCGGAGGAAGGUGGGGAUGACGUCAAGUCCUCAUGGCCCUUAUGGGUAGGGCUUCACACGUCAUACAAUGGUCGGUACAGAGGGUUGCCAACCCGCGAGGGGGAGCCAAUCCCAGAAAGCCGAUCGUAGUCCGGAUUGGAGUCUGCAACUCGACUCCAUGAAGUCGGAAUCGCUAGUAAUCGUGGAUCAGCAUGUCACGGUGAAUACGUUCCC